CUGGCCGAUUUCCAGGACUUUGUGACAAAAUGUCUGAUCAAAAAUCCUGCUGAGAGGGCCGAUCUGAAGAUGCUGAUGAGUCACACGUUCAUUAAGCGAUCUGAGGUGGAGAAGUAGACUUUGCCGGCUGGUUGUGCAAAACCAUGGGCCUCAAUCAACCCAGUACUCCAACCCGCGGCACUGAGUGAACAGUCUGCGCUGAGAUGUGCUGUAUCGUCUCUGGAUCUAGCGGCGUGUACACACACACACACACCCACCCACACACACAGUGUAUAUACACACCAACACAAGCCAGCACACAUAUUGGCAAACUUUUCAUCCUACUCUUCGGUAAAAUGGUUUUGGCUUCCCUCAUUUCUUGCUAUACCAGCAGCAGGGCCCGUUGAGUCAUUAUACUGCAAGACCACUGCUUCACCACCAUGCCAAUGUCACUUUCCCACGUUGCGACAGAGGGGAUGAACCAUUGAAAGGCUCCCUGUGUCUGGUCGACACACAUCUUUUGGUAUUGUGAAUAUUCAGUAUGAUGUUUUUGCUGGUGGCCGCUGACGGCAUGCGGGACAGUUUUUAAGAUCAGUGGCUGUAGAGAUUUGUUGUUAAAAAUAAGAGCAAGACUAUAUGAAUGCAAAUUUACAGUAGAUUGUACUGAAAUAAAUGUCAUUUUCAGUAGAAAUACUUCUUCAAAUGCAUUUGAGCUAAAAUAUUUCUGACAGAUUAUAAUUACCUGCAU